rnacentral:rRNA from 1 species
UGGGUGGUAAAUUUCACCUAAGGCUAAAUAUGUGCAAGAGACCGAUAGCGAACAAGUACCGUGAGGGAAAGAUGAAAAGAACUUUGAAAAGAGAGUUAAAUAGUACGUGAAAUUGUUGAAAGGGAAACGAUUGAAGUCAGUCAUGCUAAUAGGGAAUCAACUUGAUGGUUCGCUCCCUCGGGAGCGAUCUUUCUUGUGUACUUCCUUAUUUGGCAGGUUAGCAUCAAUUUCGGUUGUCAUCAAAAAAUUGAGGGAAUGUGACUUCUUUCGGGAAGUGUUAUAGACCUUGAUAUAUGUGGUGGCCGGGAUUGAGGAUUGCAGCGGAUGCCUUUGGGCUAGUCACCUACCUUCUGACGGUUACCUCGCUUUCGAUAGCUUGCUAACGAUUGUGGGAUUCAACAGUCUAGAUGUUGGAGUGAUCUUAUAUUCGCUAAGGAUGCUGACGUAAUGGCUUUAAACGACCCGUCUUGAAACACGGACCAAGGAGUCUAACAUGUGUGCGAGUGUUUGGGUGAUAAACUCAUAACGCGUAAUGAAAGUAAAUCUGGUGGGAACCUUUUCGGAGGUGCACCAUCGACC